rnacentral:lncRNA from 1 species
CUGGGAGAAGCAGGCAAGCGAUGCCUGCCUGUGGUAGAGAGUGAGCUGGAGACGCUGGGGUCCCUCUCUAAGGCCGACAAGAUGGGACAGUGAGAAAGAAUCCCUGACACUGGGUUCACCACCGUGGCUCUCACUCAGGAAAAUGGACUUUGGGAGCAGCUCAGCCUGCAGCUGACAGGUAACAGCUGUGGGGCGGCUCCAGCUCCUUCCCAUUGGCAAAUUAGCACCUGCCAGACCUGCAGUCAAAACAGCCAAAGGACUCUGGAUCAUUGGAAGUAAGCUGACAUCUGCUUGAAGGGAAACUGAAAGGAGGAAAGUGGUGGGGUAGAAGAUAGAAAAAAGGUGUUCUCAUCCUCAAGAAAACCUCUGUCCUCUCUAUUUCUGUGCAGUUCAAACGAACUUACCAAUGCCUGGGCUACUACUGGAAUGGAGGUCCUGGGGGACAAAGCUAGACAGAGCUCUCAGGGCCUCAGUUUCCAUCUGCAUAAUGGAUGUACUCAGACAUCUCUCUCAUGGGAGUGUCGUGAGUAUUCAUGCAGGGCCAGUCCCUGUAUGCACCAGUACCAAAGGACUCAACCCAGUACAUGACAGCUGUUACUACUGAAAGAAGUCAGGGAAGGAAGCAGGAGGAUGCCAUCAGUCCCAAGACUCAAGGACAAGGAUGCUCUCAUGGAGUAAAAUAGGAGGUGUAAAGCCAAGAUUACGAAGAGCAGGACACCAAAGGAUCUGAUGAUAAUGUUCAAGUUGUACAUAACAAACAGUUUAAGUGAUUCCCUUUUAGUUACUGGUGGGUGGAGAUGCAUACCAGGUAUGCCCUUGGGACCCAGGCCACGAUCCACCUCCUCCAGCACAUAUAGCCUGACAGCCCAGCAACUCCAGAGUCUACAUUUAUUUUAGCAGGAUUUCUGCUUCUUCAAAAAUUUUGUUUCAAAGCUCUUCGAAAUAAAGUUGAUUCAGGUCAACUGGAUGAGAAGCACAGGGCCAAGCCAGACCCAGGUGAGACCUCAAAGGACGUCUAGAGGAGGAUCCUUUCCUGCCAGGCUACCACUGCUGUGGAACCCACAACACUGGCUCUCAAUAUUGCUUGGUAAACACCUGAGUGCAGACAGAGGGUUCUCUUCU